rnacentral:tRNA from 1 species
CGGGGCGUGGCGCAGUUGGUUAGCGCACCAGCAUGGGGGGCUGGGGGUCGGCGGUUCGAGUCCGCUCGCCCCGA